UACGUAGGUGGCAAGCGUUGUCCGGAAUUAUUGGGCGUAAAGCGCGCGCAGGCGGUCCUUUAAGUCUGAUGUGAAAGCCCACGGCUCAACCGUGGAGGGUCAUUGGAAACUGGGGGACUUGAGUACAGAAGAGAAGAGUGGAAUUCCACGUGUAGCGGUGAAAUGCGUAGAGAUGUGGAGGAACACCAGUGGCGAAGGCGACUCUUUGGGACGGUACUGACGCUGAGACGCGAAAGCGUGGGGAGCAAACAGG
rnacentral:rRNA from 1 species